AAAUCUGCGGUCGCGGUUCGGAGUUUAUAGCAAAGUAUUUUGUUGGACUAGAGUUAAUAUUGUAAUUAAGGAAUUGAACACUUUUUUUAUUGUAUAGUUUUAUUAUUAAUUUAUAGUUAAUGAUAAUUAGUUUGUUAUUCUGUGCUAAACGUUAACGGAUCAUGAGUAAGAAUCCAAAUAUCACUACUAGUACUAGUGAUAUUACACAUGACGUACUGGCGGAUGACUUCGAUGACCUUACAUUGUCAUCUCGAGUUGGUGGAACACUUUGUUUUACAGACGGAAGUGUCGCUGAUGGAUUAUCUACCCAAAAAGAAUCAGAAACUACAAAAACUAUAAAAACGUGGUCGAAAUCUUCUGGAAAUAGUAAUCCAUUAUCAUCAGACACUUGCUCUUCUCCAAAAAAAGGAUCUCAGCGAGUGACCUUUGAAAUUGUUUCAGCAAAGACUGUUCUUCAAGGAAGGCGAAAACAUGUUAGCUACACUAUUCUAAUAAAAAGGAUUCCAGGCUUAGAACGUCAACCAGGGGUUUUGGAACGUCGCUAUUCAGACUUUCUGCUACUUUUCCAAGCUCUACGCACUAGAUACCCUGCUCUUCUGACAGAAUUUCCUUUUCCUAAGAAGGCUUUAGUUGGAAAUUUCACAGCUGAAGUUAUAGCAGAAAGAAGUGUUGCAUUCCACCAUUUGCUGACUUACUCAUUCUCGGUAAAGGAGCUGCGACAAACACCAGAACUUGCUGAUUUUUUAUACAAUCGUGAAUUACGAGAAGCUCACAAACUGAUGAAAACAGGCCACUUUGAAGAUGCAUCAGUUAUUUUAGAAAAUAUCUUUUUUGUUCAAGAAAAGUUACUAGGAGAAAGUAGCUGGCCAGUAUUUUCCACACUCUGCUUCUUGGUAGCCUGUUUAAAUGCUGUUGACAAUGUCACAGAAGCUCAGAAAUAUGCUGAGAUUGCUGUUCGUCACAUGGAGUUGUACAAGAACAGUGAGAUGUCAGUGCCUCUGUUAAUUUUGUCUGUACGACUCUGGUGGGCAGUUGGUAAAGAUAAGAGAGACUUGGAAGAGAAACUGCAGGAAAUAAAGCAGGGAGGAUUGAGUAUUGAUAAACUUCCAACACUGCUAGAAUUUGUCUUAAAGCAAGAUUAUCCUCAACCUAUGUUGUUCUGAGAUGACUGUUUCUGGUUGCUUUCUGUAUGUGUUAUAUUAAUACAAGUGGAAGGUGUGACUAACAUAAACACAACUGUGGAUAUAACGUAUUUGAAAGACAAAAUAUUUGUUGUGUGUAAUCUCUAAUACUAAUUAAAAGCAUUUGAUAAAUAAGCUUCUAAACUCUUUUGAGCACUCUCAUUACCUUUUGUUGAUUUCUUUCAUCCCAUCGAACUUUUUAUGUUAAUUUCCUUUUUUGUAUGUCAUACAGAACAAACUGUCUGGUAAAGCCAUAUCUUGAUUAUAAUAGAUAACCCCAUAGUUAUGUAAAAGCUUUAUUUCUUUCCUAUAAGACUAAAGUUGUAUUUUCAACCUAGGAACAUUCUGUGAAGCUGUUAAAUGGCAUGAAAAGUGACAAGCUCGCUGUCAGUCAUCCUCUUGUAUGUAUUAACUGCUGUAGGUUAUUGUGAACUGUGCACAUACAUUUGUAUGUUUUAUCAUUACACUUUGUAGUGUUACUCUGAACAGCAUAAAAAUUGUACAUAUAUGUUUAGCUUCAUUAUAUCUUGAUCACUUCAGUUUUUUCUGCAUGGAUGACUUCUUAAAUAUUAUUUGAAUCAAACCUGUUCUAUUGCUGCACUGAUGUUUCUAUUAAAUGCUUAAUUGUUGUUAAAAAAUUAUAUAAGAUCAAUGGUUUUUAUAACAGUUCAACCAUAAUUGAGUUGUACAGUUAUUUAUUUGAGUUUGGUAAAUAUCAUUAUCUAUUACAUGCUGUGUAUCAGAAUGCAAGUUUCUGAAACUUAUGUCAAGUUAGCGUGCAAAAUAUUUCAGUGAGUUAUUUUUCUGGAUUAGCAAUUUUGAAAUGUGAAAUAACCCUUUUCAGUUUCUAGUUAAUCUUUCAUUGUUUUUAUCUUAGUCUUAGAUGAACCUUGAUAUACUUCAUACUUUGAUGUUUACAUGAUAUUCUUUCAGAAAUUGCAAAAGUACUUGCGAUUUAAUAGUACAGUAAAAGCUUUGUCAUCUGGCAUCUGGAAAGCUCUUGUAACCAGAAAUUUAAAUAUUUUCAAAGAUAAAUGUUUAUGGUAGAAACUAGCAUUCAUUACAGUUUUAUCCAGAAUGUCUCGGAAUAUUCUAGAUGCUUCUCAAAAGUUUAUGACUGUAGUUAACUGAUGCUGCUGCUCAGUUGUACAGUUGCGGCUUUGUUUUUUCUUGCUGGCAAGCUUCAGUUAAUAUUAAUAUGCAAGUGGCUAUUUAGUGUUUCAGGUUUUUUGUCAUUUACAAAGCUGCAAAACCUGACCCUUAAACUGGCAAGCUUUCACCAGGACAUUUAAUUGGUGAGUACAUUACAAUAUAUUGUAUUACUUUAUUUAAAAUACUGUAAUUAUAAAUGUUGUUAUACAGUUUAAGAUUUAUUAUAACAAUUAUUAUUUUUUAAAACUGUUGUUAAAGAUGAGGUAGAAAUACUGUGCUUUAGAACAUUAACAAGGUAUCAACAUUUUUUCUGUAAGACCAGGCUUAAAAAUAAUUUGUUUGCUGUAACCCUAAACUGAUUUAAAAUGUUGGUAGGUAGGUAGGUAAUUUAUUUAUUUUUUUUCAAAUUGCUUGGCAGAAAAAAUUUUUGGAAAUACCACUGUUUCUGUGAUCACUUAAAACAAAACUCAUUAAACCACGAAUACAUUGAAUCGUGGAAAAUGAAUGUGACACUUUCAACGUAUAAGUAGUUAAAAGGAUGUCAGCAUGUCGCAAGUUUUUAUCAAAUUCUUUCACAACACACAAUUGCUGGUCAAUAUCAACUUUGAUUGGUGAAGUUGAAUUGACUAUUGCCUACAAUUUUAUGGUUUGUUCUUUGGUUUUAUCUCAUCCGCCAAGUAAAUAUAUGAGUACUUCCCUCAAUAUGGAUAAUUUUCCAAUUGGAAUUAAUUUGUUUUUGAUCAUAAUUCUCAAUCCUGUUUUUGUGGUGCAAAAGAGGGAAGUAAUAGAGCUAUGUAACUACAGAGUUGCACAUUUACUUCACUAAAAUUAAGCUUAACCACAAAUGUUUACUGUUUUCACAUUAUUAUUACUAAAUAAGGAAAAUGAGAAAAGGAUAAAAAAACAUCUCUUAUGUCCCUUAAAAGUGCCAAGGAUGUUGUUUGGCAGAAGCAAACAUAAAUAUAACAACUGGAAAGAAAACCUUAAUAUGAAAAAGUUUAACUCAUAAAGUAUAGACACACGAAUAUGGUGAGGAGAGGGUAGAUUGUGCUUCAUAUGUAAACAUUAAAUUUAUUAAGAACAAAUUAAAUGAACACUGAAAAUUAUAAACAAAGUGACAAAUAAAUGAACUAACAAAACAUAUGCAGAAAAUAUUUAACUUCUCACUAAUCAAAAAAUAAUGUCCAAUAUGCUAACAUAUAUGCAAAAAAGUAGUGACAGGUUAGGGCACAAACGUUUUUCAUACUCAUGCGUGGAUAGUCAUGUAAACUGACCAAAUCGAGCACCAUUUUCACUUAUUUCUCAACAAGUUCAAAGUUAAUAUCAUACACUCCUUUACACCUUGAUAUCCAUAAGGAAUACUUAAUUUUACUAAUGGAAUUUGGAAUGAUUAGGUAAGGAGGCAUUAAACAACACUGUGAUAACCAUGAUAACUGGUACAGAAAAUAUGCCCUGUGUAAAACCCUGCAGUUUUCGCGCACAAUAACAUUCAGAAAGCACAUGAGGCACUGUUUUGAAAUUCAAACAGAACCGGCAAGUACUUGAAAAACUUAGCCCAAAUUUGUUUUAAUGAUAUCCCACUGAUACUACCUGAUGGGCAAUUUUCCAAUUCAAACCACAUCUGUUGUUGGUAUUGCCCCAAGCAAUAUUCCACCUUACACCUUGAUACAAUAUUUGUUCUUUGGGCGUGUGUAUAGGUCAUGAUUGUUCAUAAAUUUCAGCUGUUUUCUUACCCAAUAGUUGUACAGUCAAUUGUUGCAAUGGAUUUUCAAUAACUGUUACCAUGUUUUCAAUAUAACGAUGGUUCAUAGAUGAAGAAUUUUGUAUGUUUUUUAAUCAGAGAAAUAUUUCACUUUUAAACCCAAAUUGUAUCAAAGAAAGUAUGAUCCAACUGCAAAGUAGUUUUGAAGCACUGAAUUAUGAGGGACACUAUAAAAAUAUUCAAGUCCAAACAAUGGCGGAUCCAAUUUGGUAUGCAAUUUGGGUCCUGAGCAAAGUUCUGAUAGAUAUAUUUUGGGAACAUAUUAUGCAUUUACCACAUAAAGCACAGCUUUACCCAUUGUAUAUUGAAGUUGUUUUAUGUGAGACAGAACUUAUGUAACUAAAUCAUUGAAACAAUUCAAAUUAAAUAUUUUCACAAAACACGUAAUACAAACAGGAUAUUACUUCAUUGUUUGUAUGAUAAAAUGUAUAUAAGUAGCAGUUAUUCACCAUAUUAGUCUGCUAAUAUAUUUGUUAAAGCCAGUUGUCUUGGAUUUGAAUGUGCAAAAAUCUCUAUGAAUUUUUUCUGUAUUUAUUUUAUAUCCAUAAUGGAUAUGUAACAGUGAUAACCCAUUCACGAGGUCCUCGACCAUUAGACUUCUCUUAUAAGUUUUAAGUCUUCUCAUAGCACUUGUGCUGCUCUCACAUUAACAGGAAGGCAUGCCGAAUGUGCACAAUAAUUUCAGCCUAGUGUGAAUAUUUGGAAAAAAUGUCUUAUCCACCUUUUUCAGUGAUGAUCUAGCAUCUGCUGAUGUGUCUUGAGGUUAGAAUUUCUUCAGUGACAGACCCAGUAGUGCAUUUCUGCUGUAAUGUUUUAGGAACUAGGUAAGUCAUCUUUGUAUUUGGUUGCAAACUGUGUAACUUUAUGUAGAACCUGCUUUUCUGUAGCAUGUUGGAUUACAAGUGGGAUUAAGUGAAAAGUAUUAGCGAUGACAUCCUGUAGUUUUUGAAAGUAGUUUUUCAACACAACAAGAAGCUAGUUAAGCAAAGGUAUAGUAAUAUUGAUUUUAUAGUAUUUUUCACGAGUGACAGCUGGUGCAUUUGAAUGAUGAACUUGUCGUCCUACUACUCGAGGUGAAGCUGGCUGAAUUCUGACUGAAUCUACUUUCCUGAUUAUUUUCUUGUAUAGAUUAUGAUGGAAAGUAUCUAUGUUUGUUCUGUUGUCCUCUAAUUUAGUAAUUACCUCUUUCACUUGGUUGACUGCUUUAAUAACAUUUAAUGUCCGAGACUGAAGGCUCAAGAUGAAUGGUUGAAUGUAUGCAAGAACUUCCCAUAUUGUCAUGAGUGCUGCAAUAAACUGGAAUCGAGUCGCAGCUGCAAGAUCCACAUUGCAUCUGUGACACUUUGUCUGUUCCAUUCCUGUGGAUGAGUAGAGAUGUCUUGCAAUAAGCUUACUAUUGCCUCAAGUAAAUGUAAACAUGAACAGAAUAUGUUGUGCCAUGUCACCCAUCUUGUGUGACAAAGUUCUUUCAGCUGUUUCAUCUUAAUUGCAUGUCUGUUGUACACUUGAUCAAUACAGUCUUCUGUAUCAACAUUCAGUUGAUGUUUAAGAGAAUUUAACAACUUUGUCCAUAGUAUCUAUAACAUUAUGCACAUCGAGGAUUCUCAAUGCUUUCACUAAUGAAAGAUUAAGUUUCUGACUUGGACAGUGUGUGAAAACAGCUUUAUGGUAUUCUUGUUGAAUUCGAGUCACUGUUUUGUGCUGAAGGCCACACGUAUUUCCUGCCCUAUCAUAUGUUUGACCAUGAAAUUGUGCCAAUGGAAGUUGCCAGUUGUUUGAUAUCUUUUGAAUUAUGGUGGUAGCUAAUGCUUCACCAGUUGUAGAUAGACAUAAAACAAACUCCACAAAUUCUCAUCUAAUGUCAUCAUUUUUAUCACAGAAUCUCAACAUCAGUCUAAGUUGCUCAUGGUCAGAACUAUUUGUAGCUUCCUCUGCUGAUAUUGAAUAAAAAUUGGCAUUUCUUGCUUUUGACAAUAUUUCAUCGCAAAUGUAAUUUCCAUAAAUUGAAUUAAAUGGUACAUAGCAUGUCUGUUAGCAGUAGCAAAAUAGUUUUUCAAUACAUCAUCUUCUGCAUAUAUUCAGAAUUGGAGCAAUGCUUGAAAAUUACCAGGAUUAUGAGUAGCAUCCUCCAAGUCUUUUUUUAUCAUCGUGAUGUCCAUGUAAUACUAAGUUCUGCUAACCACAGAAUAUAACAGUUUGGAUUAUUGAUCUUAAUUUCUCCCUGUUAGCCUGAACCCUUUGAUGAAUUAUUUGGUUAACUUGUGUGUUUACAAGAUGCUGUGCUCUGGUCAUCACAUUUUGGAAUGCAAUUCCAGCUGCACUUCCAUGUACAUGGUACUGAUUAUUUUACCAAGUACAGUAGACACUUUGUGAUAGUUAUCCUUACAUGGCAUUUUAACAAGGAUACCAGCAAAUUCAUGGCAUCUGAAGAAGAUGCAGUAUAUACAAAAACCACCUUUCUUUCUUGCCAAAUAGACAAGUUCCGGGUAUUUUGACAGUAUAUGAUUUUUGAAAUGUACAAUUUCAUCCAUGUUACCAUUCAACUGGAAGCUUAGAACUGCCAUUUGGUGUCACGUGGUUUAUUAAAAUCUGAUACUUCUCGUCACCUGUUACUAAAGUGAGGUCCCCUGCCAGAGUCAAAAAUGUUCCAAUAUCAAGAGGAAUUGAUUUUUCUCCAGUUUUACCAGUGGGCAUUGCUGUAUGUCAACAUUUGUUUGUGUUGCGAGCUUAUUUGGAUUUCCAUCAUCAUUGUCAUUAUUGUUCAGAUUUGUCUGAUUGUGACCACAAUUAUGAUAAUAGCAUUGUUCUGUUACAGUUUCAGGAGUGGCCCUGUCAAUAGCAAGGCAAGUACACCUGAUAUGGUUUGUAUUGAUAAUAUAGCUUAGAUCUAUGAGAUGCUAAGCUGAAAUGUAUUAAUAGAUUAAGUAAUACAACCAGAAAAUACUUAGCAUCUAAUUAUGUGAUUUUUAUAUACAUAUUAAAUAUCUAAAAGUGAGCAAUUCAAUAAAAAUACUUACACAUUAUUUAUAU
rnacentral:misc_RNA from 1 species